GACGAACGCUGGCGGCGUGCUUAACACAUGCAAGUCGAACAGUGGCGAACGGGUGAGUAACACGUGAGUAACCUGCCCUCCACUUUGGGAUAACUCCGAGAAAUCGGGGCUAAUACUGGAUAGUGGGGGAUGGGCUCGCGGCCUAUCAGUUUGUUGGUGAGGUAGUGGUCACCAAGGCGUGACGGGUAGCCGGCCUGGGAGGGCGACCGGCCACACUGGGACUGAGGCACGGCCCAGACUCCUACGGGAGGCAGCAGUGGGGAAUAUUGCACAAUGGGCGAAAGCCUGAUGCAGCGACGCCGCGUGGGGGAUGACGGCCUUCGGGUUGUAAACCUCUUUCAGCAAGGAAGCGGUAUCAAACCAGAAAGCCACGGCUAACUACGUGCCAGCAGCCGCGGUAAUUC
rnacentral:rRNA from 1 species